UACGUAGGGUCCGAGCGUUGUCCGGAAUUAUUGGGCGUAAAGAGCUCGUAGGCGGUCUGUCGCGUCGGCUGUGAAAACUCAGGGCUCAACCCUGAGCCUGCAGUCGAUACGGGCAGACUAGAGUUCGGUAGGGGAGACUGGAAUUCCUGGUGUAGCGGUGAAAUGCGCAGAUAUCAGGAGGAACACCAAUGGCGAAGGCAGAUCUCUGGGCCGUAACUGACGCUGAGGAGCGAAAGCAUGGGGAGCGAACAGG
rnacentral:rRNA from 1 species